GCCAGGCGUGGUUGGGGGCACCUGUAAUCCCAGCUACUCGGGAGGCUGAGGCAGGAGAAUCGCUUGAACCUGGGAGGCAGAGGUUUCAGUGAGCCAAGAUUGUGCCAUUGUACUUCAGCCUGGGGGACAGAGCGAGACUCCAUCUNNNNNNNNNNAGAUGGAGUCUCGCUCUGUCCCCCAGGCUGAAGUACAAUGGCACAAUCUUGGCUCACUGAAACCUCUGCCUCCCAGGUUCAAGCGAUUCUCCUGCCUCAG
rnacentral:SRP_RNA from 1 species